UUGGAGCCAGCAGUGGUGCUGGAACCAGAUACUAGGCAAGGAGCAGAGAAAGACCCGAGAGCACGAGCUGUCAAGGGACAGAGAGCCAGAUCGAUUCUCCAGGAAGUGCACCCACAAGAUGGACAGGCCACGCAGAUCCCAUGGCUGGAAUGUCUCCUGGAAGAUGCUGCCCUUAGCAGGUGAGCGAUCAGCACCCUGCAAUGGGGAGGACUUAUUUGGGGGGAGUUGAGGAUGCUGGAGGAAUUUGGUCUUUUAGCUCAGAUCUGUAUCUCUCCCACUAAUGCAGAUGUCGAAACCUAACUCUGCACCUGAUUUCAUAGAGGAAGGUGUUGUUUUGAGUGAAAAAUCACUUUUUAAACAUGUAUUUAUAUGCAAAAGGCCUGCUAGGGACCACCCUGUUGCACCCUUGGUUUUGUACUUACUAGGAUGCAGAAUCCGGACCCCAUUUCCAAAGGGGUUGCUGGUAAGAGCGCUGGAAGGAAGCAGGUGGAGUUACAUGCAGCUGAGCUUGGGGGGUAGGAUGAGGAUGCUGGAGGAAUUUGGUCUUUUAGUUCUAAUAUAGAUCUGCACCUCUCAGACUAAUGCAGAGGUCUAAACUUCACUCACUGCCAGAUUUCAUGCUCCUCUGAAUGUUGUUGUGGAGUCCUCAGGAAUUCAAACUAGACCAUUGUGUUAAUUUGCAAUUAAAUGCAUUUUAAAUAUGUACUAAAACUUGCAAUGAAAUGCAAAAUUGGCAAGUCCCACUAAGGGCCGCACUGCUUCACCCUCUGUUUCCUACCCUCUUGGACGCAGAAUCAGGGCCCCAUUCCCACAGGGGUUUCUGGUAAGAGUUCUGAAAGGCUGCAGAUGGAAUUACAUACAGACCCUCCAGGUAGGCAGAGAGGUAGUACUAAAGGGGCAGGCUGGAGCCCUGAGGGAAUUUUUUUAAAAAAAAAUUGUAGAAGGAUUCUUAGUGCCCAGUGAGCACUUUGUGUGAAGAAAGGAAUCAUUUAUUAAAAUGAAUGUUAUUUUUGUUUCAAUCAAUACCGGUGAUCGGCAAGACAGAUUGUUUCAAUAAAUAGCAAAAAGAUAUUUUGAAAUAUAUCUGGCAAGGGUAAAAACCAAGAAUAAAAUAUAAAAUAUUAAUAGAUGAGAAAGAGAGAAGAGGUUUUUCCCUGUCGGAUAUGAGAUUACAUUAUGAAGCUUCCUGUCUGUGCUGGUUGAAGGAAUGGUUGUCACUGAAGAAUCCACAUAUUAAAGACUUGGAAUGUCACGAUGAUAUAUUUGGCUGGCAUGUGUAUUUGUGGUAUGGCGAAAGUACAUAAAGGAUUUAUAAAUCAGAUUAUUAUGUUCAUUUGUUAAAAAUGAAAAAUUAUAAAGAAAAGAAAGAAAAGAAAGGAAUCAUCCUGAGUCCCUGAAGGAGGUAAACACAGACAGAUGCCCAGACCUCCUUCACUGGCCCCCUUUAUGUUAAUGUUUGCUUAGCUAGAAACAUGGGAGGGUCCUGGAAGGGGAAAUACAAGAGCGCUUCCCCUUUCUUCAUGUCUGCCCCAGAAGAAGGCUGAGGCUGAGCUGCCAGGAAAGGAACUGCCUUCUUGCUUGCUCAAUAAAGUAAGAGCUACACUUAGUGUUUGUAGGACAGCUCUUGAGAGGAAUCACUGUUACGAACUGGGAUAUUUAGAGUGUGCCGUGACAUUUCAGCAGAGGUUGGAAGCCCUUUUUCUUCUUCUUUAGCAGAACAUGUCUUUCGUUUUCUUCUCCACACUGCAGCCUCCAUCCUGAGUUCCUGCUUCCUGUUGACUCAAGCCCAGGAGACAACUGGAAUAAGUAUCAGAGUUGUUCCAGAAGUGCUGAAAGAAGGAGAUAGUGUCACCUUAAAACCAGAAGGUCUUAAUCUGAAGAUGAUAGCCACCUGCAAAUGGUACCGAGGGGCAGUUGAAGACAAAAACAUUAUUGUUACAUAUUACCUAGUUCCAGUUAGUGGUCAGGAAAAAGGACCUGCCCACACUGGCAGGGAGACUGGGAAGCCAGAUUGCUCCC